GUAAAAGAAAAGGAAAAUUUGAAAAUGAUCACAAUGUUUCCACUUGCCAGGACCACUGUCAAGAAAGAAAUUGUAAGAGGGGAGUAGGUUUUGCCUAGGGAAGGGAUAGAGAGCAUGAAAAAAUUAUUGAAUGCCUACUGUGUGUGAAGGGUCAACAGUACAUUAUCUUGUUUAAUCUCCAUAAAAAUCCUACGAAAUAUUUAUUCUUAUUUUUGUUGCAAACAGGAGGAAAUCAUCCUUGCUGUCUUGUUCUUCUUGGAGCCCUGAGCAGCCAUAGGAACAGGCCCAGCCCAGCUGGCUAGAUCCUGACCAACAGGUGUCUGCUUGCCCUUGUGGUCUCUGCUGGUACCCACUAACUCCACGAAGCAGGAGCACCUAUCUGGAGGACUGGAAGCUGACUGCAAACAUACAUGGCUGUUCUUCUGGUUAUGGAUGAAAGGAGACUGCUGGCAACACCACAACCCUGAGGAUACCAAAACAGUACUGAAAACAGCUGGUGAUACUACAUGUCACAGAUGCACCAGCUGAGGUUGGUGGAGGGUAAACAACAAAGCCAACGUCUCACUGCUGCUGCCAGUAAGUAACACAGUGGUAAUUUGAUUUCAGUUCUUUGAACUCUAGACGACUAUGUUGCCUUUAUGAGCCA
rnacentral:lncRNA from 1 species